CUCCGGUUGAUCCUGCCGGACCCGACUGCUAUCGGAUUGAGAUUUAGCCAUGCGAGUCGAACGUUCCCCUGUUGCGGGGAGCGUGGCGUACGGCUCAGUAACACGUAGUCAACCUGCCCUGGAGACAAGGACAACCCCGGGAAACUGGGAUUAAUCCUUGAUAGGUCAUCUCAUCUGGAAGGAGAGAUGGCUUAAAGGGGUACGCGGGCUUCUUCCGCGAAUUCGCUCCAGGAUGGGACUGCGUUCGAUCAGGCUGUUGGCGGGGUAAUGGCCCACCAAACCUGUAACCGGUACGGGCCUUGAGAGAGGUGGCCCGGAGAUGGACACUGAGAGAAGGGUCCAGGUCCUACGGGGCGCAGCAGGCGCGAAACCUUCGCAAUGCGCGAAAGCGUGACGAGGUUAAUCCGAGUGACUCCCGCUGAGGGGGUCUUUUGUCAGCUGUAAAUAGGCAGGCGAAUAAGGGGAGGGCAAGCCUGGUGUCAGCCGCCGCGGUAAUACCAGCUCCUCGAGUGGUCGGGGCGAUUAUUGGGCCUAAAGCAUCCGUAGCCGGUUCCGUAGGUCCUCUGCUAAAUCCAACCGCUCAACGGUUGACCUGCAGAGGAUACCGCGGGACUAGGAGGCGGGAGAGGCGGACGGUACUCCGCGUGUAGGGGUAAAAUCCUUUGAUCCGCGGAAGACCACCAGUGGCGAAGGCGGUCCGCCAGAACGCGCUCGACGGUGAGGGAUGAAAGCUGGGGGAGCGAACCGGAUUAGAUACCCGGGUAGUCCCAGCCGUAAACGAUGCUAGCUAGAUGAUUCAUUCGCAAGUCGCGAAUGAAGUGUCGCAGGGAAGCCGUUAAGCUAGCCGCCUGGGGAGUACGGUCGCAAGACUGAAACUUAAAGGAAUUGGCGGGGGAGCA
rnacentral:rRNA from 1 species